rnacentral:rRNA from 1 species
CGUAGGGUGCGAGCGUUAAUCGGAAUUACUGGGCGUAAAGUGUGCGCAGGCGGCCGAGCAAGUCGAGUGUGAAAGCCCCGGGCUUAACUUGGGAAUUGCGCUCGAAACUACUUGGCUCGAGUGUGGCAGAGGAAGGUGGAAUUCCACGUGUAGCGGUGAAAUGCGUAGAGAUGUGGAGGAACACCGAUGGCGAAGGCAGCCCUCUGGGCCAACACUGACGCUCAUGCACGAAAGCGUGGGGAGCAAACAGGAUUAGAUACCCUGGUAGUCCACGCCCUAAACGAUGAUGACUAGUUGUUGGAGGAGUUAAAUCCUUUAGUAACGCAGCUAACGCGUGAAGUCAUCCGCCUGGGGAGUACGGUCGCAAGAUUA